ensembl:lncRNA
GUGUUCAGGUUGGAAGACAGUACAGAUAUAAACUGGUAUCAACAGUGUUCAGGUCGGUGUUCAGGUUGGAAGACAGAACAGAUAUAAACUGGUUUAAACAGUGUUCAGGUUGGAAGAUUAUUGGGUAGUUUGGUUCAUCAGGCUGACCCACCGUCUUCAUGGAGGAGAUUACUGAGUAGUUUGGUUCAUCAGGCUGACCCACAGUCUUCAUGGAGGAGAUUACUGAGUAGUUGGCCCCCGCGAUAUGUAACUGUUCAGGGAAGUUUGGAACCAAUAUACACAGGCAGUUAGGAAAGCAAAGGCUAGCUUUUUCAACCAGAAUUGUGCAUCCUGUAGCAUAAACUCCAAAA